rnacentral:rRNA from 1 species
ACUUUCAACAACGGAUCUCUUGGCUCUCGCAUCGAUGAAGAACGCAGCGAAAUGCGAUAAGUAAUGUGAAUUGCAGAAUUCAGUGAAUCAUCGAAUCUUUGAACGCACCUUGCGCUCCUUGGUAUUCCGAGGAGCAUGCCUGUUUGAGUGU